GAGGAUAAGGGCUCAGUGGUAUAGCGCACGCUUAGCAUGCAUGAGGUCCUGGGUUCAAUCCCCAGUGCCUCCA
rnacentral:tRNA from 1 species